GGGCUAACCCUUGAGGAUCCCUAAAGGCCGAACCCACUCUUCAGCGGGUUAAUGCCCAUUAAGACCUUAGUAAUCAGGAGAAACUAAGGUUAACCUAUAAGGAUCCUCAAAAGCCAAACCUGCUCUUCAGUGGGUCAAUGCUCGCAAAAAUCUUGUCAGUUCGGAAAGUGAGGGCUAACCUACAAGAACCUCCAAAAGCCUUGCUUGUUUUUCAGCAAAGCUAACACCCAUAAAAACCUCAAUUGUCAGGAAGCGAAGGUCAAUUU
rnacentral:lncRNA from 1 species